GGUAUUUGAGGUGGUCAAUUUCGUGGCAGCCACACGCCGAUGGUAACGACAAGGGCUUAGGCUCUGAGAGAUGCAGGAGAACGCCACGCCUGCCAAAUACC
rfam:Faecalibacterium prausnitzii A2-165 genomic scaffold Scfld2, whole genome shotgun sequence.